GUAAAAGGAAAAUCUAGGCCCUCCUGAAUGAUGAAAGAUGUGCACCUUCCUGGCACUAUGGUGCUGGAAUUGGCAUGGAGACCUACGCAGGAACCAUCAGACAGGUCAUCACUGCCAGGAGUCAUCAGUGGAUGUAGCUGGUGCCUCACACACAAUGGAGGCAGGUCAGCAGGUUAAACUGAAGGUAUCUCACAGCUGUAACUCUUCAAUUUUAUGAGCCAGGUCUUUAUUUGUGCUGCAGCUCCUUCUUAUCCCAAACCUGCCUUAACCAGCUGCUAGAGGAUGCCCAGCAAUGGAAAAUCCUCUGGAUAACAAUAAAUUGGUGCAAUGAUUCAGUGUCACCUUGCAUCCCGCUAAGCAACAGAGAAAUUGUGAUCAGAAAAUUGGCCAUAACCAGAGCACCACUGAACAAUUGAAUCCUAAUUUCAUCACCCUUCUUGUGGGCAACAGAUAAUCCCAUGCAAUUUACAGCAGCUCUGAAGUGGCUCCAAAUCUCAGCAGGAGUCAGUUCUAGCCUCAGGACAGAGGAGUCACAGCAGAUCAGUGAAGCUGUCAUUGCUCCAUAAGAACUGCACCAAACCCAAUAGCUGGUUUGAAACACAAAGCACCUCAAGCACAAGACAAAACUUUAGUUGCUGUCAUUAAGGUCUUCCUCGGCAUCCCUCUCUGGGAAAUACCGUUUGUCCAUGCAAUGACCAUGCACACGCUCCCAAAGAAGGCAAAUGUUGACUUGAGAACUGCAGGAUGUCAACCUGUGAAUGACAGCAUUAAAUCUUGGCGGUAAGGCUGAGAGAUCUGCAAGAGGAGAAAACUACUUUUCCCACUGAACAGUGGCUGCGGUAGACGAGGUAAAUAGAGUAUCUCUGACUAUUAAAGGGUGAGGGAAUGAUUUGUACCCGUAUAUCACACAUUUGCACCCUAAAAGUGGCUAGUUUUGUUUAAAUCAAGAAUGUAAAAGUUUAGAAAUGCCGACAUUAAUUUGUCCCCUUUGUGCAUUUGCAUCAUGAGCCACUACUUAAUUGUAAUUAGAUCACACGCUGUUCCCGGCCUCCCUUAUUGUACACAAUAGACUGUACUAAGUAAUAAUUGUAUUUUCUCGUCACUGUUCACUGUGUGGCCUGUGCUUUAUUUACUGCACACUAGUCAAAUAUUGUUCUAAAGACAGAUUUAUUCAUUUCCUCCUGGGUUUUUCCAUGGUACUUGUCACUAUGGUAUCCGAGUGCUUCACAAACUCCAAUUCAUUUUCUCAGUAGUGUUGUGAGAACUGGUGUGAGCAUUAUUUUACAGAUGAGGAACUUAGGCAUACAGGCAGAAUACUAAAAAAUGUAUCUUUUAAUUUUAGCUAUCCAAUUAGAAAUACUCAUGGCCUGGUUUUGUCAGAAAAUAUAACAUGGCAAAGCAUCUGAUUUAGUCAAAAGUUGAAUAAAUUCUCAUUCACUGCAGAUGUAUCUGCAAGUGCUCUUCACUUCUGCAAAUCAGACUUCAAAAUGUCAAACCAGGCACCUCGGAAGUGAAGCCUGCACAAUUAGUGCAGCCCUGUCAAGUCUCUGGUUUGAGCUCUGUGCUGCGCAUCCUGCAGGAGCUCUGAGGCUGAAGGCACCUCCUGGAGCAGCAGGUACCCACCUCGCUGCAGUGCUGCACUCGCCUUCCCCACAGUUAGUCACAGGGUACAUGAAAUUCCUACAUCUCAGUUUUAGAGUACAUGAAGUGGAAGUUGCUCAGGCACUUACCUUGACCUUGGUUCAGUGUCUGAGCACUGGCAGCCUUUAUUCUGGUCACUUCGUAAGUUGGGAGUGUUUUACUUUGUAGCCUAAUUAUUGUUAGUUUAAUACAUGUGUGUUUCUCCCCCAUUCAGAGGUAACCAAAAACCCCAGCAAUUUAAUCCUGUGUUGCCAUUGAUGUAGGCCAGCAGCAGCAGCAUGGAAACUUAUCCUGUAUGAGGAACAGAAUAGCUUGUAUGAGGUCCAGCACUUGGAGAGGAUGAGGUAUGUUCUCAGUGUAUUUCAGACACUUGCUGCCAGUAGAGACAUGGGAGUUUUCCAGGUGCUCUUCAUUCCCGUUCCUAAAUCCUCAGCUUUCUGCUCUGCCUCCUUUCCUCAGUCUGACCCAUUGCAGUCUGUCCCUGAAAUGUUUCCAUUUCUACAUUGCUAUCUCUCCAGAAUUCCCUUUUCUUGGUACCCUUGCUGCAUCCCACACACCCCCUCAGGGUCCCACAUCCUCCUCCCUUGCCCUGCUCCAGCUCUCCUGCCUGAUCCCUUUUGCCCAGCAAGUUCUCCUUCAGCCCGUAGCCAGAAAACAGAUAACUCCCGCUCCGCCUGGGCUGCACAUCCUUCUCCCGGCAGUUUUCUCCCAUUCCCAGUCUGUUUUCAAGUCUUCUCCCACAGAAGGUUGGCCUCCAGACUCUUGCAUGUGGGCUUUGCUUUAUCCCUCCCUCAGGCAGACCCAGUUUCCUCUUCCAACUCCCUGCUCCCUUUCACUGCUGUGGAGAACAUGUCUUUCUCCAGGCCCUUUGUGCCUGCCAACUUACUCGUCCUGGAGCCAGUUCUUGUCCCCAUCCCAUGUUAUUCAGGGAGCUUUCUGCUCAGUGUUUCCCAAGAGGACUGGAAGGACGGGUUCCUUGCUUGCCCUUCCUGCCUUCCAAGGCUUGGCAUGGUCUGGAGCAGUCGGGAACUGGAACUGCAGGUCCAGCUCUGACUCCCACAGGCUUGGGCUGUGAUGUGCUGAAUCCAAGAUCCCAGACAGAAGGAAUGAAAGAAGAAACGUUUAUAAUUUAACCCGAGGGGUGGAUUUAAGAUGCUUAAAUUUCAGCACAGUGGUUAGUCUGGCACUAUUAACAGUGACUGAAGUUCUUUCCUGGUAAUCCUUCUGGCAUAUCAGAUAUCCGCGGAGCUCGGCAAGCAUAAUACGGCGAAACCCAAACAUCCUUCUGAGGAGGUAAUUACUCAUCCUUGAGAAAACGCUCCGGGAUAUUUUUAGUGGAGGACAAAACCCCUGUUUCCUGACAGCAGAACUACAGAAUAAUGAAGUUUCACCAUGAGAAGCACUCCAGACACCUGUAUGGGCUGAGAGCUUGGGCUCACGGCGACGGUGCAUCAGUCCUGCGUGUCGCGGAGUCUGUGCAUGCACACUUGCGUUUGGUGCCCUGCAGAAUGUGUCAGCGUCUGCCCCACUGC